rnacentral:rRNA from 1 species
UACGUAGGUGGCGAGCGUUGUCCGGAUUUACUGGGCGUAAAGAGCGCGCAGGCGGCUGGUCAAGUCCGAUGUGAAAGCUCCCGGCUUAACUGGGAAAUUGCAUCGGAAACUGAUCGGCUGGAAGGUGGGAGAGGGUAGCGGAAUUCCCGGUGUAGUGGUGAAAUGCGUAGAUAUCGGGAGGAACACCAGUGGCGAAAGCGGCUACCUGGCCCAUUAUUGACGCUGAGGCGCGAAAGCUAGGGGAGCAAACGGG